CUUCCAGAUAUGGUGAUGUGAUGGUGGGUGCCCUGCAGGUGAUCUUCUUCCAGAUGAUGGUGAUGGUGAAUGGUGGUUCCUGCAGGUGGAGGGCCGUAGGCCGGCGUUCAGCCGAUGGUGGUGGCUGCAGGUGGA